rnacentral:pre_miRNA from 1 species
GAAGACAUACUGUCUGCAGUGUGUUUGAUAAGUUGACAGGAUUUCUUUUCACUGUUGUGCCAGUAUAUUGAACUCAUACCUGGAUAUC